rnacentral:tRNA from 1 species
CAAGAAAUAGUUUAAUUUAAAAUAUUAAUUUUGGAGAUUAAUGAUAAGUAGUGUUUUUCUUGA